GGCCAGUACUGGGCCUGUCUUUUCCUUCUCAUGCUUCUCCACCUUGGACAGUAACUGCUGGUACAAGUGACUACAGAACCCAACAUCAUGAUGGAACUCAGGCUCUGUAUUCUUAUUGUUCUUGCAUAUCAGAAGUUGCCUUAAAAUUGAUUCUCCUCACUGGAAAUUCUUCAAAUUCAAAUCUAUCCAAGUGCUUGCUUGGUGAGGACCUUCCUGACACCCCUCAAAUGGCACCAGGUGUGUGACUGCCUGCUUCGUCAGAUUUCUGAAUCAGGCCCUGCUCAGGUACAGAGGUUUUCUGUCGUUUAGAAUCAUUAUAUGCAGGAGUUAGAAGAU
rnacentral:lncRNA from 1 species